rnacentral:rRNA from 1 species
CGGGAAACCGGGAAGCUAAUACGGAUAAUAUAUUGAACCGCAUGGUUCAAUGGUGAAAGACGGUUUUGCUGUCACUUAUAGAUGGAUCCGCGCCGCAUUAGCUAGUUGGUAAGGUAACGGCUUACCAAGGCAACGAUGCGUAGCCGACCUGAGAGGGUGAUCGGCCACACUGGAACUGAGACACGGUCCAGACUCCUACGGGAGGCAGCAGCU